AUGAGGCUCUUCCUGCUAACUAAUGAACAGCUGAUGGACAGCAAUGUGAUCAAGUUGUGGUUCUCAGAGCGUUUAAGUGGCUUCCUGCCGUCUGCCUCAGAAAUGUUCCUGCUGUGUCUGAGCAGCAGGAACCUCAGCUGUCAGUCGUACCAUCAGAUAGUGCAGGUGUUUAGUCGUCAAUUCAGAGACAUAUCAUUCCAACAGCAGCAAACAGUCUUGAGGGAUUUCAUCCUCCGUUUCCUGUCAGAACCUCACACAGGUCCAGGCUGUUUGUCGUCCUCCAACAGCAGUGCACAGUGGCUGAGGGACAACUUGGGUUCUUUCUCAGAGCUUCUGUCAGUCAGCAAGAUGUUUGAUCUGAACCCACAGUUCAAUCCUAUAGAGGCUCUGAGUGUCCUGAGUCCAAAGCAGAGUGCAGAGCUGCUGGUGCUGAAAUAUCCCACUCUGCCAAACACAGACGUCAUUAUCAACAAGCUCUUUGAUUAUUUCACUGAGUCUCCAAGAGAGAGGAAGUUUACAGAGUUCCUGUCAUUCCUUGUCGUGUUUCUGGAAAUGGGAGAUCUGUCCUGCUCUUCAUACAAAACCCUGUUCAGUAGACUUGACGAUGCAGCAGCCACAGGUUUUCUUGAUGUUUCCUCAGCCAUCACAAACAACAAAUACGAACUUUCCAAGAAUAUACCAUCUGGUUGUGCCAUCUACAGUGGAGAGUGCAACGCCAUCACAGCAAAUCAGUCAGAUAUCUGCAAUGGAGUGAAUAGGUAUGUCUUGUAUUUUCAAGGAUCUCACUGUUCAUUCAAUUUGAGAAAUAAUUGA
rnacentral:lncRNA from 1 species